GUAACCAUUGUCGACCGGAGUUGUUCCCCUUGCCAAUAUGGCAUACAAUGUCAAAAAUAAUUAUUCUUUCGUCUUUAAUUAAUUUAUUCUGCAAUCCCAGUAUUUAAAGAACCAUUGAGUUCACUAGACACUGUACAUAGAGGGACAGAGAAAUGGGGUUUAACAUCCGCUCGAUACAAACUAGGUCCUUUUGGGAACAACAUAUAGUUCAAUAGGUGACCUACUCUUUGUCUCAUACAAGUGAAUAGAAACCACACCACUUGAUUCAAUGACAGACUUUAUGAUCUAAAGCACAACCUUACACCAUUUGGACACCCAACGCCCCUAGACACUGUACAUCUAUUGUAGUGAUCUCUUAGAGAUAACAGCACACACAGAGAAAAAUAUAUUGAGAAUGACGUCAACAGAAGUUUUGGAUGAUGUAAUCAUCGAAAACAGCACGUCAAGUGUCAGUAUAGACCAAUCAAAAGAUGGAUUAAAACAGAAACUAAAAGUAAAACCUUCAGAGUGUGGGAUUUGUGGUAAAUUUGUGAAGGGACAUUUAACUCGGCACAUUAGAACUCAUACUGGGGACAAACCAUUUAUCUGUGAGGUAUGUGGUCAGGCGUUUAUACGCGGAUCCUCACUUAAAGUACAUCUGAGAAUUCAUACGGGUGAAAAACCAUAUAAAUGUGAUUUUUGUGAAAAUUCCUUCAGUCAGAACGGCAUCCUGCAAGCUCAUAUCAGAGUCCAUACUGGAGUGAAACCAUAUCAGUGUGAUAUCUGUCACAAACGUUUCAUCGAGAAAAGCUUAUUAAAAGAACAUGUCCGAGGUCACACCGGCGAAACACCUUAUGUAUGUGAAAUAUGUGGGAAAAAAUUCGGUAAAAAUUUUAAUUUGCAGAGACACAAGCGAGUUCACACUGGUCAAAAACCUUUCAAAUGUAAUGUUUGUGAUAAAUUGUUCAGUCAGCUGGUGAAUCUAAACUCGCAUAUGUUAUCACAUACAGGUGAAAAACCUCAUCACUGUGAAUUUUGUUACAAACCUUUUAAACUUUCUGGCCAAUUAGUAGAACAUCUUAAAAAACAUCAUUUUAAUUUUACGGAUAAAUAGUAAUACAUUAAGAUCAUAAUGUGGGGACAAGCCCAGAAUGAAGGUUUUUUCACAGGGUUUUUGUUUGAUCAUGCUGUUGACCGAGAAAGUACCUCAGGAUUUUCCAAGGGGAUUUCCCUUUGUCAGUGAUGCAGGAAUGAGGGUCUGGCAAGGAAUAGUUUAGUUGAUUGGACGGAAAAACAAGAUCCCGUGUUCACGUUGGCCAGCAGGUAAAAGAACCCUUGACAGUUGGAGCUUGAAGUAAGAGUAGGCUGUGGCGCUGGUUGGUGCCAAGAAAUAGGACAUUCAACCCCAUUUCAUUUCAUAUUAUCAGUUUCUAUUGUUAUCUUCCUAAUAUAUAUAUACAAUUUUAUUGAUAUUACAGGGAGUUACUGCUGAAUUAUUGGUUGAGGCAAAAAUGAUGAAAAACUGAGAUCCAGUUUCCCCUGUGUAUUUAAAAUAAUCAAAAGUUGAUUAGAUAUCAGGCUAUGGUUUAAAAAUCAUUUUUGUCCAUCAAAAAAGGUCUUCAACUGUUUUGUCUGAUCACAAAAUAUAAACAUUUGGUGUUUCUUUUAAAUUAUAAAAUAUAUUUCUGUUUCAUAUAAUUAUUAUGUCAUGGAUAUUUUAUUAUAAUUUCAAAUGAAUCUUGUUAUUCCUUUUUCAUUAAAACAUGCAAUAUAUCAAGCAUGCCAAAGAUAUUGAAAAUCCUUUCUUUGUGGAGGAUUUAAAUGUCAUAUAAAUGAUUAAUUAAGCAUUUAAACACAUGACCAGCGCAGAAUUAACCCUCUAGAACAGUGAUAUUGAAUGGAUUAGAACAUUGAAAUUUAAAAUGGAUAAUUGAGACUUUAUUUAUUAUCGUAGUAACGGUACUUGAAAAUCAAGACUAUCAUGUCAAAACUUUGCUCAUUAUAAAGUAAUUAGACUGAAACAUUUUUCAUUAUCUAUCAUUGGACUGUUAUAUAGCAAGAACUGGCAGCUUUUGAUCCAAAUCUUACAUAAUGCAUCACUAAAAAAGAGCUGUUUACUAGUUCUUUGACUUGGGUGAUAUGAAGUAUAUGAUAAGAAAAAUAAAUUGAUUAGCACUUAUUGGAUGUUUACGAUUUCUGUAGGCCAUAAUUUCUAUUUGUAUUUCUGUACUUAUAGAGAAUAGUUUGGGAUAUCAAGUAUUACGGGGUUAUCCAAAUUACCGGUAAAUGCGCUAAUUGCUUAGGUCGUCUUUAGUUGUCACGGGGCCUAUUUAAACAAUGGCACCUUAAAUGGAUCUACGUCAUGAUACAGCAUUUUAAAUUCGCUCUAAAAUAUUCCAAUCACAAAUGUCUAAUCUAUAACAACGCAAGACGAUAAUUCGGUGAUUAUGAUUAUGCCAGUCACAUGUUAAUUGGACACAUACACACUUGUCAACUGGUGGUGUGUAUUGUAUAGAUAAUGUAUAUAGUAUGUGUAGUGCCUGUGACGUCACCAGCCAAUCAACCGGAUUAAGGUUGUAAUUGAAAAUUUGAAAACCGUUUUUGGCUUUCGGAUACUUAAACCUCAAUAGCUGAAUUAAUUUUAAUCAGAUUGGUUUGAACUUGCCGUAAAAUGGAUAUAGUAACCAUUGGCUAUAGGUACAUUCAAUUAAGAUUUUUAAUCUUAUGUGGUCUUUAAAUUUGAUAACUUUCUGCUAAUCAAAUUAAUAUUUGAUUCGCACUUACGUCGUUUUUGUUAAGCAAACUGCUAUGCGAUACCGCUUAUCAUAUUCCCUGAGAAGCAGUCUAGGGGGCAACAGUCAGGACCAGUUUCGAAAAUGAACUACAAAAUAAUAGUAAAUGAUCACUUAUCUCAGAUUCUUUCAGGGAACUGAGGUAGGCAUGAUUUACAUAUACCUGAUUUUAAAGAGUUAAUUUACUGUGAUGAAAAUAGAUAUUGUAAAGUCCUGAAAUAGCUACUUAAAACAGGCAUUAUGCAAGAGCUAAAUCUGCCCAUUGCAGGGCUUUCUUUGGGCCUUAAAUGAUAUUUAUAUUAUUAAUUAGACAUUAUUAACAUAAGACCAUAAUCAACUUUUAAUCGGCCAUUUAAUGAUUCGAUUUAAUUUCAAAAUGGAGAAGUGAGGCUAAGACUCGAAUGACCAGAACAGUGGUUACGAUCAAUUCACACAUCUUGAUUGAUAAAUUCACACAUCUUGAUUGAUAAAUUCACUCAAAAUAAAGUAAUUUGAAUAAAAUUGUCAAUAUAUUCAUUUUGCAUUAUCUAUUUUUGAAAUAUUAUAGCAAGAACAGUUGGGCUCUUUAUGUAAAUCUUACAUAAUGCAUCUUUAAAUUUUGUUCAUUUUCAAUGUCGAGUAAAAUACCAUAACUUUUUAUCAAUGUUCAAAUUGAUGUUCAAAAAAAAAAAAAAAACCAUUUUCAACUUAAUUUAUUUUCAUUAUUCAUUCUGAUAUUUAAAAAUAUUCAAAAGAUAAUGUACCUGUAUUGUGAUAUGUAUAUUAUUACUUAAUUAUAACCUGUAUGAUGUAAUUAAAGUAACGAUGCUUCAUCUGCAUUUUUUGCUAAAAUAUCAAAUUUAUCACGCCUACUCAGAUUGAUUAUUUAACAUUUAAUUAAGAGAACAAAAUCAAAAUAUCGAUGCAAGAUAAACCCCUGGCUUGGAUUCAAUUGUGUAUAUGCCUAUCAACUCUGUUCGCACACACCACAAUGUCAAUUCAAACCAACGCAAGAUAACCUCCCGGCUUGGAUUGAAUCAUAUUUAAAAUAGGCCUAUCAAUUCUGUGACGCAAUGUGACUUUAAAUAUAGAUAUUGUGAUGUGUACAUUCUAUAUUAUUUAUUAAUCACUUGUUAACUGUAAUUAAACACUUGGAAUGAAAUAAACUUAUGAAAAACA